GGUUAUCAACAACAACAACGUCAUCCUGAGCACGGACGUUGCACAGCUCACCGGCUGUACUCAGCUACAUUCAAAUGGUGCCGUUAGCAACGGUCAUAGCGGUCCCUCAGCUGGUGGUGACAGCGGUAAUGGUAACGGAGAUACCGUUAAUAAUGGCGGUAACGGUGUUACCGGUAACGGGGAAGCGGUUACCAGCUUCGGGGAGAUCCUCGUGUACGGAGCGAACCUCGCGCUGGGAUACGUGCGCGUCGGCCACGCUGACAGAUUCUUGGACGUCUGCGUUGACGGCAAGACAGAGCUGGUGUACCGCACCGGCGACUAUGCAACCUGCCACAGCUCUGGCACUCUGCUGUACGAGGGCCGCACGGACGGACAGAUCAA